GAUGAACGCUAGCUACAGGCUUAACACAUGCAAGUCGAGGGGAAACGACAUCGAAAGCUUGCUUUUGAUGGGCGUCGACCGGCGCACGGGUGAGUAACGCGUAUCCAACCUGCCCACCACUUGGGGAUAACCUUGCGAAAGUAAGACUAAUACCCAAUGAUAUCUCUAGAAGACAUCUGAAAGAGAUUAAAGAUUUAUCGGUGAUGGAUGGGGAUGCGUCUGAUUAGCUUGUUGGCGGGGUAACGGCCCACCAAGGCCACGAUCAGUAGGGGUUCUGAGAGGAAGGCCCCCAACAUUGGAACUGAGACACGGUCCAAACUCCUACGGGAGGAAGCAGUGAGGAAUAUUGGUCAAUGGGCGAGGGCCUGAACCAGCCAAGUAGCGUGCAGGAUGACGGCCCUAUGGGUUGUAAACUGCUUUUAUAAGGGAAUAAAGUGAGCCUCGUGAGGCUUUUUGCAUGUACCUUAUGAAUAAGGACCGGCUAAUUCCGUGCCAGCAGCCGCCGUAA
rnacentral:rRNA from 1 species